rnacentral:rRNA from 1 species
UACGGGGGGGGCAAGCGUUGUUCGGAAUUACUGGGCGUAAAGGGCUCGUAGGUGGCCGACUAAGUCAGACGUGAAAUCCCUCAGCUUAACUGGGGAACUGCGUCUGAUACUGGAUGGCUUGAGUUUGGGAGAGGGAUGCGGAAUUCCAGGUGUAGCGGUGAAAUGCGUAGAUAUCUGGAGGAACACCGGUGGCGAAGGCGGCAUCCUGGACCAACACUGACACUGAGGAGCGAAAGCCAGGGGAGCAAACGGG